rnacentral:rRNA from 1 species
AACGAACGCUGGCGGCAUGCCUAACACAUGCAAGUCGAACGAGACCUUCGGGUCUAGUGGCGCACGGGUGCGUAACGCGUGGGAACCUGCCCUUAGGUUCGGAAUAACUCCCCGAAAGGGGUGCUAAUACCGGAUAAUGUCUUCGGACCAAAGAUUUAUCGCCUUUGGAUGGGCCCGCGUUGGAUUAGCUAGUUGGUAGGGUAAAAGCCUACCAAGGCGACGAUCCAUAGCUGGUCUGAGAGGAUGAUCAGCCACACUGGGACUGAGACACGGCCCAGACUCCUAGGGGGGGCGGAGGGGGGAAAUAUUGAAAAAGGGGAGAAAGCUUGACCCAGCAAGCCCGGGGGAGGGAGGAAGGCCUAGGGGUUUAAAACUUUUUUCCCCGGGGAUGAUAAGAACAUACCGGGGAAAAAAGCCUCGGGCUACCCCCGUC